GGUCAGAUGGCCGAGUGGUCUAAGGCGCUAGACUCAAGUAGUUCAUUAAAAAGACAACUUGACCAUUCAAGAUGGUUUAAAUUCUAGUAUCGAAAGAUGCGUGGGUUCGAGUCCCACUCUGAUCA